rnacentral:rRNA from 1 species
GACGUAGGUGGCAAGCGUUACUCGGAAUUACUAGGCGUAAAGCGCGCGUAGGCGGAAUUUUAAGUCUGUUGUGUAAUCUCUGGGCUCAACCCAGAAACUGCAACAGAAACUGAAUUUCUUGAGUGAGGCAGAGGAAGACGGAAUUCCUGGUGUAGCAGUGAAAUGCGUAGAUAUCAGGAGGAACACCGGUGGCGAAGGCGGUCUUCUGGGCCUUUACUGACGCUCAAGCACGAAAGCUAGGGGAGCAAAC